rnacentral:tRNA from 1 species
GCGCCCGUAGCUCAGUUGGAUAGAGCAACUGCCUUCUAAGCAGUGGGUCCCGAGUUCGACUCUCGGCGGGCGCGCCA